rnacentral:rRNA from 1 species
UACGUAGGGUGCAAGCGUUGUCCGGAAUUAUUGGGCGUAAAGAGCUCGUAGGCGGUCUGUCGCGUCUGCUGUGAAAACCUGGGGCUUAACCCCGGGCCUGCAGUGGGUACGGGCAGACUAGAGUGUGGUAGGGGAGACUGGAAUUCCUGGUGUAGCGGUGAAAUGCGCAGAUAUCAGGAGGAACACCGGUGGCGAAGGCGGGUCUCUGGGCCCGGAUGAUCGACUGA